UAAUACAGAGGGUGCAAGCGUUAAUCGGAUUGACUGGGCGUAAAGGGCUUGUAGGCGGUUAUGUAAGUUAGAUGUGAAAUCUCUGGGCUUAACCUAGAAACUGCAUCUAAAACUGUGUAACUAGAGAGCAGUAGAGGGGAGUGGAAUUUCCGGUGUAGCGGUGAAAUGCGUAGAUAUCGGAAGGAACACCAGUGGCGAAGGCGACUCCCUGGGCUGUUUCUGACGCUAAGGAGCGAAAGCGUGGGGAGCAAACAGGAUUAGAUACCCUGGUAGUCCACGCUGUAAACGAUGAGAACUAGCUGUUUUGGUGUUAAAACUAGAGUAGCGUAGCUAACGCGAUAAGUUCUCCGCCUGGGGAUUACGGUCGCAAGACUA
rnacentral:rRNA from 1 species